rnacentral:lncRNA from 8 species
AUAUUAGUGCUUGAAAAAGUACUUAAGUCCUUGAAUUUGACUUGCCACUGUCUGUACGAACCCUGUCUCUCUCUCUUGCUGCCUGUCUCUCUCUCUUGCUGCCUGUCUCUCUCUCUUGCUGCCUGUCUCUCUCUCUUGCUGCCUGUCUCUCUCUCUCUUGCUGCCUGUCUCUCUUGCUGCCUGUCUCUCUCUCUUGCUGCCUGUCUCUAUCUCUUGCUGCCUGUCUCUCUCUCUUGCUGCCUGUCUCUCUCUCUCGCUGCCUGUCUGUCUCUCUCGCUGCUUGUCUGUCUCUCUCGCUGCCUGUCUCUCUCUCUCGCUGCCUGUCUCUCUCUCUCGCUGCCUGUCUCUCUCUCUCGCUGCCUGUCUCUCUCUCUCGCUGCCUGUCUCUCUCUCUCGCUGCCUGUCUCUCUCUCUCGCUGCCUGUCUCUCUCUCUUGCUGCCUGUCUCUCUCUCUCGCUGCCUGUCUCUCUUGCUGUCUCUCUCUCUUGCUGCCUGUCUCUCUCUCGCUGCCUGUCUCUCUCGCUGCCUGUCUCUCUCUCUCGCUGCCUGUCUCUCUCUUUCGCUGCCUGUCUCUCUCUCUCGCUGCCUGUCUCUCUCUCUCGCUGCCUGUCUCUCUCUCUCGCUGCCUGUCUCUCUCUCUCGCUGCCUGUCUCUCUCUCUCGCUGCCUGUCUCUCUCGCUGUCUGUCUCUCUUGCUGUCUGUCUCUCUCGCUGCCUGUCUCUCUCGCUGCCUGUCUCUCUUGUUCUCUCUCGCUGCCUGUCUCUUGCUGUCUCUCUCUCUUGCUGCCUGUCUCUCUCUCUCGCUGCCUGUCUCUCUUGCUGUCUGUCUCUCUCGCUGCCUGUCUCUCUCGCUGCCUGUCUCUCUCGCUGCCUGUCUCUCUUGUUCUCUCUCGCUGCCUGUCUCUCUCGCUGUCUGUCUCUCUCGCUGCCUGUCUCUCUCUCUCGCUGCCUGUCUCUCUCUCUCGCUGCCUGUCUCUCUCGCUGCCUGUCUCUCUCUCUCGCUGCCUGUCUCUCUCGCUGUCUCUCUCUCUCGCUGCCUGUCUCUCUCUCUCGCUGCCUGUCUCUCUCUCUCGCUGUCUCUCUCUCUUGCUGCCUGUCUCUCUCUCUUGCUGCCUGUCUCUCUCUCUUGCUGCCUGUCUCUCUCUCGCUGCCUGUCUCUCUUGUUCUCUCUUGCAUUUCUGAGUGUUUCACUGUGGAGAUGGAGAAGUGCAUUGCUAUGGAAACUAGUGUGAUACUAUGGAGACGUGAACUUCCUGUUUUUGCAACUUGUCCCUGA